rnacentral:pre_miRNA from 1 species
UAGGUACUUCCUCCGUUCCGAAUUACUUGUCGCAGGUAUGGAUGUAUCUAGAUGUAUUUUAGUUUCUAGAUACAUUCAUUUCUGUGACGAGUAAUUUGGAACGAAGGGAGUAGGUA